rnacentral:snoRNA from 1 species
GAGAAAGGAUUUCUUUGAUGAUUCCAAAAAAGCAUAGUUCAACUGAGCAUCGUAUGCUGAAACUUUUUCCAUCUGAUUUGCACGUCAGUCUGAGAUUUCUC